rnacentral:rRNA from 1 species
AGAGUUUGAUCCUGGCUCAGGAUGAACGCUAGCUACAGGCCUAACACAUGCAAGUCGAGGGGCAGCAUGGAUCCAGCUUGCUGGGUUCGAUGGCGACCGGCGCACGGGUGAGUAACGCGUAUCCAACCUGGCCCUUACCCCGGCACAGCUUUCUGAAAGGAGAGGUAAUGCGGGAUGUUCCGCCUUGUGGCGCAUGCCAUGGGCGGCAAAGGUUUACCGGUAAGGGAUGGGGAUGCGUUCCAUUAGCUUGUUGGCGGGGCAACGGCCCACCAAGGCGUCGAUGGAUAGGGGUUCUGAGAGGAAAGCCCCCCACAUUGGAACUGAGACACGGUCCAAACUCCUACGGGAGGCAGCAGUGAGGAAUAUUGGUCAAUGGGCGGAAGCCUGAACCAGCCAAGUAGCGUGAAGGAGGACGGCCCUUCGGGUUGUAAACUUCUUUUAUGCGGGAGUAACCGGCCGCACGUGUGCGGCCCUGCAAGUACCGCAUGAAUAAGCAUCGGCUAAUUCCGUGCCAGCAGCCGCGGUAAUACGGAAGAUGCGGGCGUUAUCCGGAUUUAUUGGGUUUAAAGGGAGCGUAGGCGGGCUUGCAAGUCAGCGGUUAAAUUUCGGCGCUCAGCGCCGUUGUGCCGUUGAAACUGCAUGCCUUGAGAGUACACGGGGCAGAUGGAAUUCGUGGUGUAGCGGUGAAAUGCUUAGAUAUCACGAAGAACACCGACGGCGCAGGCAUUCUGCCAGGGUACGACUGACGCUGAGGCUCGAAGGUGCGGGUAUCAAACAGGAUUAGAUACCCUGGUAGUCCGCACGGUAAACGAUGAAUGCCCGCUGUCGGCGACACACUGUCGGCGGCCAAGCGAAAGCGUUAAGCAUUCCACCUGGGGAGUACGCCGGCAACGGUGAAACUCAAAGGAAUUGACGGGGGCCCGCACAAGCGGAGGAACGUGUGGUUUAAUUCGAUGAUACGCGAGGAACCUUACCCGGGCUUGAAUUGCGUCCGCAGGGACCCGAGAGGGUCCUAUUCCUUCGGGACGGCCGCGAAGGUGCUGCAUGGUUGUCGUCAGCUCGUGCCGUGAGGUGUCGGCUCAAGUGCCAUAACGAGCGCAACCCCUGCUCCCGGUUGCCAGCGGUGAAAGCCGGGCACUCCGUGGGGACUGCCUCCGCAAGGAGCGAGGAAGGGGGGGACGACGUCAAAUCAGCACGGCCCUUACGUCCGGGGCUACACACGUGUUACAAUGGUGGGUACAGCGGGCCGCUAUACGGCGACGUAAUGCCAAUCCCGAAAUCCCAUCCCAGUUCGGACUGGAGUCUGCAACCCGACUCCACGAAGCUGGAUUCGCUAGUAAUCGCGCAUCAGCCAUGGCGCGGUGAAUACGUUCCCGGGCCUUGUACACACCGCCCGUCAAGCCAUGAAAGCCGGGGGCGCCUGAAGUCCGUGACCGCGAGGGUCGGCCUAGGGCGAAACCGGUGAUUGGGGCUAAGUCGUAACAAGGUAACCGUA